AGUGAACGCUGGCGGUAGGCCUAACACAUGCAAGUCGAACGGCAGCACAGUAAGAGCUUGCUCUUACGGGUGGCGAGUGGCGGACGGGUGAGGAAUACAUCGGAAUCUACUUUUUCGUGGGGGAUAACGUAGGGAAACUUACGCUAAUACCGCAUACGACCUACGGGUGAAAGCAGGGGAUCUUCGGACCUUGCGCGAUUGAAUGAGCCGAUGUCGGAUUAGCUAGUUGGCGGGGUAAAGGCCCACCAAGGCGACGAUCCGUAGCUGGUCUGAGAGGAUGAUCAGCCACACUGGAACUGGAACACGGUCCAGACUACUAAGGGAGGCAGCAGUGGGGAAUAUUGGACAAUGGGCGCAAGCCUGAUCCAGCCAUACCGCGGGGGUGAAGAAGGCCUUCGGGUUGUAAAGCCCUUUUGUUGGGAAAGAAAAGCAGCAGGUUAAUACCCCGCUGUUCUGACGGUACCCAAAGAAUAAGCACCGGCUAACUUCGUG
rnacentral:rRNA from 1 species